rnacentral:tRNA from 1 species
AAUGUUUUAGGUUAAAUAAACCACAAGCCUUCAAAGUUUGAAUUAAAGAAAACUUCUUUAAACAUUA